rnacentral:rRNA from 1 species
AGUGAACGCUGGCGGUAGGCCUAACACAUGCAAGUCGAACGGCAGCACAGUAAGAGCUUGCUCUUACGGGUGGCGAGUGGCGGACGGGUGAGGAAUACAUCGGAAUCUACUUUUUCGUGGGGGAUAACGUAGGGAAACUUACGCUAAUACCGCAUACGACCUACGGGUGAAAGUAGGGGAUCUUCGGACCUUGCGCGAUUGAAUGAGCCGAUGUCGGAUUAGCUAGUUGGCGGGGUAAAGGCACACCAAGGCGACGAUCCGUAGCUGGUCUGAGAGGAUGAUCAGCCACACUGGAACUGAGACACGGUCCAGACUCCUACGGGAGGCAGCAGUGGGGAAUAUUGGACAAUGGGCGCAAGCCUGAUCCAGCCAUACCGCGUGGGUGAAGAAGGCCUUCGGGUUGUAAAGCCCUUUUGUUAGGAAAGAAAAGCAGCAGGUUAAUACCCCGCUGUUCUGACGGUACCCAAAGAAUAAGCACCGGCUAACUUCGUG